rnacentral:rRNA from 1 species
UACGUAGGGUGCGAGCGUUGUCCGGAAUUAUUGGGCGUAAAGAGCUCGUAGGCGGUUUGUUGCGUCUAUCGUGAAAACCUGCAGCUUAACUGUGGGCUUGCGGUGGAUACGGGCAGACUUGAGUUCGGUAGGGGAGACUGGAAUUCCUGGUGUAGCGGUGAAAUGCGCAGAUAUCAGGAGGAACACCGGUGGCGAAGGCGGCAUCCUGGACCAACACUGACGCUGAGUGAGCGAAAGCCAGGGGAGCAAACGGG